GAUGGGGUUUCUCCUUGUUGCCCAGGCUAGUCUCGAACUCCUGAGCUCAGGCAAUCCACCUACCUCGGCCUCCCAAAAUGCUAGGAUUACAGAAGAAGAAAUUCUGCCUCAAGACCAUAACAUAGAAAUUAUGCCUGAGUUUCCAACCUGUUGGAAACUGUUGGGCUGCCCUAUGUAUUUCGAAUUUUAGAAUGCAACAUUAAGUCUUGCCUCAGUUUCCUGCCUACCAGUCUUCCAACAGAAUUUAGACUUGCCAGCUCCCAUUAAUGCGAGUCAAUUCUUUAAAAUAAAUCUGUAUACGUUAUAUCCAUAUUUAUCUAUAUCCUACUAGUUCAAUUGCUCUUGAGAAUUUUGACUGUUAUAGCUUUUGAUACUGAGAGUGGUUCUAGAAUAACAGUCUUAAGGAUGAGUUUCUGUGAAUUAAUUAUGAGAUUUGUGGAAUUGUCUCAUACUACAGUUUGAAUGUUUUCCCCUCUAAAAUUGAAACUUAAUCCCCAAUGUGGCAAUAUUGAGAGGUGGAGGCUGCUGUUACAGAGCUGGAAUCCUUAAAUGCAGUUGGAAUAAUUGGAUACCAGGGUGGCAGGGAUCAAGUGGCGGCACUUAAUUGUAAGAGAUCCUGGAGACCUAUGGCAUCGUGUCCCCAGGAGAGAAAUAGAUGGGCAGUCUAAUAAAUUCUUAUUUAAUCUGUGAAAGUGGAAGAAUUCUAGGUCAAGUGAACAGAAGUCUGACUUGAAACAUCAAAAAGAAUCAUGUUCCCUGAAUCAGUUCCCAGAUUUGAACCAGUUUACAGACCCAGAACAGCUUGUAUGAAAAGGAGGUCAAGUCUCUUU
rnacentral:lncRNA from 10 species